GAACAGUUGGAAACGACUGCUAAUACCGCAUAAGCGCACAGCUUCGCAUGAAGCAGUGUGAAAAACUCCGGUGGUACAAGAUGGACCCGCGUCUGAUUAGCUGGUUGGUGAGGUAACGGCCCACCAAGGCGACGAUCAGUAGCCGGCCUGAGAGGGUGAACGGCCACAUUGGGACUGAGACACGGCCCAAACUCCUACGGGAGGCAGCAUG
rnacentral:rRNA from 1 species